UCUGCUCCUGGCCCAGUUCCUGGCAACACUUCAUUACACAACGACAGUUGCCAUGGCCACUAAAGGGGAGGCUGCAAACAGAGCUGCCGCAGCGCUGGCAGGGGCUGCUGCGGCUUCCCGGGUGCGCGGAUGCAUGGGUACGUGGAGAUCGUUGUGCCCAGGCUCUCUGCCUAGUCACGUCUCCCAUUGCGCGGCGAGGGACCUUCUUCACCCAGAGCAACACAGCCUGUUACCAGGCUCCUGAUCCCUGAAGCACCUUUUCUGGGAGGAUGAAACACAAGCCUUCAGAUGUCACUGCUCUUACCUCAGUCAGCUAAGUAAUCUUCUCAGCUGUAGAUGAAGCUCCUCAACCACACCGACUUUUCACGAUGCAGUGUCAGCUUCCGUCACACGUUGCGGCAGGGCAAGGCUGACCCAUCAGAGACAGCAGCUCAGAGCAGUCCCUUCAACACACAUCAAGCACAAGCUCCAGAUUUUGCUUUUCUGGUAGUCUUGCAUUUCAUAGCUGUUACAGGGCCAGGCAGAAGUCUCUGUAAAUGCUAUUUACUGUAACGUCUAACUUAUUUGACAGCAAACAAAAGCCCACAUGAUAGUUAUCCCUUCCCUCAGAAGGUAAUGUCGAUUCUUAAGCCUUUUGCUCACUUAGCCAAGACUUUUCCCCUUUUACUGCUUGAUAUGUGGCAUUUUUCUCUGAGGUUGGUCACUUUGCAGCUCUGUUGGCUACCGUUGGUGAAAACCUUUUCCCAGAAAAGUUUCAUCAUGAUUCACUGCCAUCGUCCAGAGCAUAGAUUCUCCUGUUUAAGCAGCUCACACGGUGCUGUCAGCAGCAUGUCUGAACACCAAAAAUUGCCAAGUGAUGACAAGCCUGAGAAGGGCUGGUGGGAUGCAUUGGCAGGGCAAAGGGUUUCCUGUCAUGUUGAGGUUACAGAUACCUUAGUGUAUCUGUUCUGGAUGCACAGCUGUAGAUCUCCUCAUGAAGCACCUUUUCUUCCGAGUAAGAUCAUAUUAAAAGGAAGUAUUGAUCAGAAUAACAGUGAAAAGGUUAAAGCUAUAUUGCAGAGUGGGGCUUUGGAAUAAGCUUCAAGUGAACAUCUGCACUUGUGUUCAGGUCCUGCAGUCCUCUGCUUUUGUUUCCUCCUAUCUUCAGCUCUGCAAGUGGAAGUGAGGUUGAUGAGGUUCAGUACAAACAUUAGACGCUUUGUUCCAGAUAUAGCUUCGCAUGUAGGUGGGGAAGGGGCCAGGGCUGAACUUGUUCUCUUCUAGUCUCUACAAACAACCUGAACAACUUGCAGCUGUCAGGGUGUGGACCUUAACAUCUCAUAAACCAUCUACAAGCCUUUAUGUGCAGGUGAGUAUGGAAGGUACAGAGAACAGGCUGUGUCUGCCAGUUGUGCUCAUUAAAUCAUGUGAUUCAAGCCAACAUCUGAUGCAAACUGCAGUUUUUCCAACUGUAUACCAGUUUUGGUGUAUGUCAAUGGGUCAUUGGGUAGUUUUAUGCUCGUAUGGUGAAAACAAGUACUUGGUGAUUAGUUUCCCUUGAGGACAGGCAUUGUAAAAAUAUUCUUAACACUCCCUGGCUGCCUGUUAAAAGCACAGCCUACCAGGUGACAGCAAGAAGUCCUUGGACCACAGGCCACUACCUUGGUUUUCUGCAAAAGCUGAACAUCACAGUCUGAAAUCUUAGAAAUAGUAAAAACUUUUUGUUGUGCGGCAGGGAUGGAAAUGCCCCCACCUCAGGAUGGCUGUACCUGUUUCUUCCUUACACCUCACCUAAGGACCAUUGGAGGGGGGGGGCUGUUGCUGCCGGGGCUGUCUCUGCUCAUCACUGUCCCACAACCCAUUUUUGCAUCCUCUGGUCCAGACCGUGGCACAUCUGCUUUGCAUCCAAAUCCACUUUGCCAAGGAGCUCGCAGCAGCGCAGGUCCCAGUGUUUCUUCUUCUCUGUACCUGUUUGUUAGAGAUAAAUUUCAAUUCCAGGAUUGAAUUGGUGAAACCAACCCACAGCAGCGCCUUCACUGGUACCCUCCAAAAUACCUGCAGCAACUAGCUAGAAAGAGUUGCUCCGUUCACGUUCCGCUGGGCGAUGCUCUUGCCUGCGUGCCCAUCACAGCCAGGCUCAGACACACAGCCUUGCGCAGCCCCCGGCACGGGGCAGGGGGACGGGGAGCUUGGGCUCGCACCAAGAAACCUAUUUGUAAACUGGCUCUGCUGCAUAAUGUAAUAUGCUAUUAAAUUGCAUGGUGGUUACUUACUGAUUGCUUACAGCGAAGCCACGGGAGGACGGAGGGGUGGGAUCGGGGUGCCCUGCCACCCCCCAUCCACCCGCUACCCGCCCAAGGCUGCGGGGCAGGUCCAUCACCUCCGAGCUUUCACAGCGCGGUGCUAACACCCAGACUUUCAGGGCCUACCCAGGAGCAGGUUUUUCGCUUUCUAAGGCACGCAGUGACUUUUCAGCAAGCUUUUCAGUGUGGUUUGUACUUUCUAAGAAGUGAGCUGAAGCGAAGCCCAACAGCCAGCCAGUGACACUGCUUACCUGCCCCAGGGACAGCGGGUGCUACGUAUAUGCAGGGGAAAAAUCCCUGCAGGUCAGAAGAAGAUGAAAAAAACCCGUCAAACCACUCAAGAGAGGGAGUGAGAAGUUGUUUUUUACAAGAACAACUUGGAUGAGAUCUCUUUUAAACUUUAGCUGAAAUGAAAGGGAGGGGGAUUCAUUGCAACUAGAAGCAUUUUUCAGUCUGACCUAAAAAUGACAUGAAACUCCAACCUCAAAGUAGGUUUAUUUACAGGCUUGGGUCUAAAGAAAUCCCUUCGUGGAGGGGAGACGUUAUUCCUCAGUCAGCAGGCAGAACUGGAGCCAGGGGGAUGGAUGGUGGUCCUGGCUCCUUAGGUAUGAAUUAGGAUUGCUGUUGGUAACUGCAGCCAAGAGUAAAUAUUUGGAUGAGGGAGCCAUUUAUGUCAAAGAACAAGGCAUGUCAGCUAACUCACCAUAAGCUGGGUCUGGACACCAGGAAAUAUCAAACACAAGAGAUUUGGGGGGUCCAUCUUCCCAUGAAAGCCAGAGGGAUAUAACUGCUUUUGAAUAUGAAGAGAUGGUAUAACUGCUUUUAAUAUGAAGCUUUAUAAAUUUAUAAAAAGAUGAAGUGGCGGCAUGCUUGGAAAGCUAAGGGAAGGGGUCAGGCAAGGUCUUAUCUGGGCUUACAAUGGAUGUGGAGACCACUAGAAUGACACAGAAAGAUGUGGGAGACAGAUUACCAUGGAUAUACCUCUACUCUGAUCCUGCCUACAUUUUUUGCAAAGACCAGGUUACGGAUAAAUGGCAGUGGACAGCUACAAACUUUGAGCAAGGAAAGGGAUCUAUGGCUGGCCAUGGAGCAGCCAGCAGCAGCCCUCCUCUCCGCCCUGGCCUUUGCCUAGGGAGCAGGGGUUGGGAGCAAAAGGUCUAACUUAGUGCUCUUGGUGGCUUCUGGACCAUGUUUCCACCAGAAGCCAUCCUCUUUCCAAGGCAGCUUCAGCUAUGCGAGGCCAUGAGGCGAAGAGCUCUAACAGCACACAGACCUGUAUUUUGGCCGGCAGGCUUUCCUGAGCAAUACAGAAACGGCGGCUAAACCGGUGUCUUUCAGCUGUGUUGCAUCAGUAUCUUCCCUUUUUUUUGGUUUAUGUUUAGGGUUUGUUUGGUUUUUGGUUUUUUUUUUUGUUUGUUUUAGUUUCUUUUCAAGCAGAUGGGGUGAAAGGAGGUAGGACUGCGUGGGAAAGGAAGCUGCUCCUCGCCAGAAAGGGAUGAAAGAAAGAUUGCGAGUUACACUUGCCCAGCCUCAGCAUGUCACUUCUAUAGCUGGAUGAAGCACUUGAUUUUAAUUCCUGCCAUGUGCUUUGCUGUGCCAUGGCACUGUGGUGACACUUACUGAGACGCGGCUAUCUGAUCAAUCUAGCCAUGCUCAGAAAGCUACGCUAUGCAAGGGGUAUUGGCCUUACCUUCUGCAAACUGAAGCAUGGCUCUGAAUUCAAGGCAUCACAAAUUAUUUCCAUGGGAAGAAGAAACCUAUGACAGAGGCUGGAGUGCCACAGUACAACCUUGUUGUUUGGGUUUUUUUUUUAAAUGCUUCUUGUAAAACCCAAAGGCAAGCAGUUGUAUUCAUCCAUAACGGCAGUCUCCAAGGUUAGAUUUCACGCUUCUGCACGACAUUUCCCCACCACCACCGCUUUCAUUACAGGAAGAGUUUCGCAACUCAUCGCCAGGUGCUGCCGUGGUCUGAAAUGCAGCAGGCUGUGGGGUCCCUGUCCUUGUCAAAUUUAAAGACAUAAUUGUCAUGAUAGUGAUCAGAGAAUUAAUUUAAAAGGCAACCAUGCCCUGCAAGAUUGCAUCUCGCUCUGCAAGACGGUUACAUAGAGUGUUACAUACCAUAGGGGGAGGUGAAGCCUCCCCGUGCAGCAGUGCCUGGACCCCCAAGCAGUCCUCUGGGCACCUCUGUGUGGUUCCCCUCCGAGGUGGCUGUGGCCAGGACUGCAGGGUGCUGUGACAGCCCUAUACCCGUAUUAUUGGCCAUGCAAACCAAAUUUGUAUUGCAGAUAGGCCACUUGUCCAGUCGGAUAGAAACAUCCGAAUAUGAGCAAGUUCAUUUCCAGUUAGAGUCCUGGAAAUAAUCUUAUCUUCAGCAAGGUCAAUUAGUCCUCCUAAUUAUGAAAUUUCCACAGUUGUAUUAUGUGGCAAAUCCUGGGGGUUUUUUUCCCCCAUUUACUACAUACUCAGUGUAAAGGAAAUAUAGAUAACAAGUUGGUUUAGUAUGAUUUGGAAGCAUUCCAAUCCUCAUUUCAGUACACAGGGGGUAACUCAGGGCUUUUAGAACAAGUUGUACAGGAACCUUUUACAGUGUAUGAUAAAAUACAAGGUCUGGUAGGGAAUUAAACUUCUAACCAUCUCCGGGAAAGAACAGCGUGUGAUGUCCUCAUCUGAACCAGCAGCCUCUGAGUCUUGUGGUACUUGCUCAUUAACACCAGUGCCACCAGCACCAGCCCACUUGCCACAGCGUUGCUUGUUCUGAUAAGCCAGUAUCCUACCAAGCAUAAAAGUAUGUAUUUAAAGCUCAACACAUGAGAAUUUCAAUCAGUCUGAGGACGUGCUGAAGUCAUUUGGUGGACUGGGAUGAAGUUUGGUGGAAGGCAUAUGAAAUGAUUUAGUUUAAUAGAUACACUUUUUUAAUAGGCAGCUUGGCAAUUAUAUAUUAUGGCUUGAUACCUCUUUUGGUAGUGGGUAGCUAAUCUUAAAGGUUUGCUCUGUUUUUCAGUUUCUUUUUUUACAUUGGACCACAUAAAUGAAGAGAAGAUUUAAGUGGGUUUAGGUCCUGUAUAAAGAUGCUGUAGCUGACUUUGCUUAAUAUAGAACUAAUCACAAAUUAGAGAAUUUGAAUGGACAUACUCUAGUGUCUGUAUCAGCUAAGAUGGAAGAGCUCCAGGAUAAUAUCUAGUCCUGAUGAAAAUAAAUCAGCACCAUUUUUCACAUAUACUUUAAUUUAAACAGGGGGAAAACUGUGGAAGAACAAGGCCCCAGGGCUAUCACCUGAACACAGAGCAGAUGAAGGGGGGGUAUCCCAUGAGGUGCUGCCCCAAAAUAGUGGGGCUGGACUGCCAUCACGCUCGCAGAGGCACCAUCAUCCCUGCCACGCUUGGCUGCCCAUGUCUCCCUGUGUUCAUGUGUUUACAUUUUCAUUUAAAUUUACCUGCAAGUCUGAUUUUUCCAGAGUUUUAGCAUGCUUGGUUUUGAUAGAUAAUUGCUACGGUCCUUCUGUAAUAUGUUUUACUCGGAGUUUGUUAAUCUGCUCCCAGCUGUAAUUCCAUCUUAGCCUAGUUUUGUCUAAGGAAUAUGAAAUGUUCUCUUAUUCCCAGGGCAACUGAUGCAAAUAUCAUCCUGAGGAUGAGAAGCUUAUCAAAUGCCCAGUACAAUACUUUUCACUGACAUUUCAAGAAAUGCUUUUUCCUUCGUUUCUUUGAGAGGAGACACUGCUUUCUGACCUCUGGUUUUACCUUAUGGAAGCUGUGAGGGAUCAUGUCAUAGUUUUCAUUUAUUUUCCUAAAGAAAUUGUAACUCGGUGCAUCCUUUUAUGGAUUAGUCAUAUAUGCUACAGAGCAAUGCUUGGGUUUAUCCCAUUUUUUCCUUUUUGCAGUCUGCAAACAGAGUUUCCUCUUUUGAUCAAAAUGCAUUUUGACCACACCUGGGAGAUGCAGUGAUGAAACCAGAGGAAAUCUCAGGGCCCUUUUCCCACUGGAGCAGAGUUGGCGAGUGCCCAGCGAUACCUGCAAGACCACAGGUACCUGCUAGCAGGUUCUCUUCCUAGAGCUUAAUAAGGAUUUCAGGCCAGAUUUGCACUACAGUUGAUGCCAAAAACGUCCUAACUUGUCAUUCAGUCUUACCGCCCACCCACUUGUGAAAGCCCUGCUGGGUGCAAGUUCCCACUGUGCUGCUAUUGGCCUUCAUAAGUGAAAAUUGUAUGAACUAUUCAUCUGAAAAUCAGGCCCACAUUUCUGUUGUGUCAGGUGGUUUUGAGGGAAAUUUCAGUUGCAAGGAGUGGUUUCACAACCAUAAGUUUGGCAUUUGCUCUUUUUUCUCUUUCUUUCUCUUUUGGUGUUGUUUCUUCUUCUGACCUCUAAUGCAGACACAGAAAAAUAGUCAAAGUGCUAUUUCUUUUUAGGCCAAGAUGAAUAUGUGAUAUGUCAUACUAACCACAGUAGAUGUACAAAGCUGCACCUUCUUUCAUGUAAUGCUUUACUAAUAAUUCAGAAACUGAGGCUUACGCAGUUUUCUUUGGCUAAAUUUCACUCCGGAAGUAGUCUGAGAUUUCCCAGUGCGUUGGAAGAUACUGAGGAAAUGUUUCAUAUAACGCCAGCUGAUAUUUAAUACAGAUUAGCGACUGGAAAUAAGGAGUUGAACUGUUGCACUGAAUCCAGCCAUUCCUCCAUAGACCACAGCAUGGGAACUGCUCGCUGCGAGGUUAGCAAGUUCACCACCCUUUACUAAAAACAGUCCUUUUUAUUUAAAUUUUGCUUCUUCUCUCAGUUUUGGGAUGAUACGAUUCCAGAAAGAAGUUCCCGUUUCUUUUCUUUUCUCCCUUCCGUUUAGCGGGGCCCGUGCAAAGCACGGCUGAAGGGAGAGGGCUGAGCACGCCGUCCCCUCCCCUGCUCCUGCCCAGGCAGCCCCUGCGUUGAGCAAUACCAGACAUCUGGGGGGGGGACGGAAGCCGCUGCCACAAACAGCUAACACAGGACAGUGGCAAUUUUAAAGAGAAAAGUCUUCACGGGUUACACACCAAAAUACUGCAGGCUGAUUGCUUUCUGCUGAAUGCACAGCUAAUACACAGGUCUUGCAGACCGAAAUAGAGGCUUAUUUCAGUGUGCUAGAGCAUCUCCUGCCCGUGAACAGAGCAAGCUGUACCAGCAUGAACGAGCGAGAUGCUCAAGAACUUGCACAGGGCUUAAGGGAAGUGAUAAACCCUCAUGGGGUGCAGUUACCCACUCCUGAAGCACAAAGAAAAUGCAUGCUUCUCCUUCAGAUAGGUAAGCCAGGCUUAAAACAGGUGAUUGCAUGCUUAACAUGGAUCAGAGACUGCUGUGUGCCAGACUCCUGUCUUAGCACUGUCCCAGUAAAGUGGGGAUGACAUCUGAUGUAUACAUCAUAUAUCCUGUUCUGUUGCAUUUGGAAAUUGCCUCACUGCUACUAGGAAAAAAAAAAAAAACCCAUUCAGGUCUCAGCAUACGCACAUGAACUCUGGAGUCAUGGCAUGGCAAAACAGAAAUAAGGGACUAGCUCAGGCUAUGGAGACUCCAUCCCCAGCACGACACGGAGCUCGGUUCUCCCCUGGCUCAGCUUUAUGCAGGGGACAGGCGCUCUCAUGUGGAGUGUCAAGAGGGAGCCGACCCCUGCUCCUCAACUCUGUGCUGGCCUUGCCCCAAGGGUCACUUGUCAGCGGACAGCCUGGAAAUCGGUCCGUCUCUAGCUUGCUCCCUCUUGCUGCUGGUCCCCACGGCCACAAGGAGCAUCCGUCUGGGCAUGGACACCAUGCCCACGUGCAGGAAAGCCACCCCGGCUCGGCACGCGUGCAAACCACUGUCAGAGAAGGAAAGUGAGGGUGGCUAGCGAGAACUCUCCCCAGGUUUGUAAGUCCUGCGUAAUGAAACAGCAUUUCAUCCACAGCUGCUACAAAAUGGUCAAAGUAUUGGUGAAGCCACGAGAUAAAAUAAAUCUCCGGUCAAAACCGA